AACUGGGAAUAUAGGACUGAGCAUACCAUCUACUCUCUGAACAGCUGUCUUCCAGCCAGGAAACACAGAUCUCAUAUAUCAAGAUUCUAGAUGCCAACACCAGGUAGGAACCCCAGUUCCAGAUGCUGGAAGAACAAAGUAAGCCAGGAAAGGUGCUGCCACAGGUAAGCCAGUAACCUUGUCCAUCGGUUGCCUGCUGAAGACGGUCCUGAGAAUGACUCUUUGAAGAUGCUGGAGGUGACUCAGUCAGGAAGCCACAUAAAUUCCUUGGAAUUCAUGUCACCAGGGUCUUCAUCAAAAGAGGAGUCAUCCUGGCUCUGGCCUGACCAUCCCGUUCUAUGCAUGCUGAUCACUCAGCAUGGAGCUAACAGCCAAAAUUGACACACAGGAAUUGCUGUUCUCAGGAAGUGAAUGAAAUAUAGCUACUCUGCUGAUUCCUUGACCUCAGGAAAGAAAUCCUAUAUACUAAUAGCAAACUCAUUCUCCAAGUGUCGGUCCUUAUAUAGCCAAAAAGACACCACCUAUGUAGAAGAGGGGGAUACCUGCAAUCUUGGGAAAAC